GACGAACGCUGGCGGCGUGCCUAACACAUGCAAGUCGAACGGGACCGCAAGGUUCAGUGGCGGACGGGUGCGUAACACGUGAGGAACAUAGCCAACGGCGGGGGAUAGCCGGCCCAACGGCCGGGUAAUACCGCGUACGACCUUUGGGGGGCAUCCCCUGGGGGUGAAAGCAGCAAUGCGCCGAUGGGGUGCCUCGCGGCCUAUCAGCUAGUUGGUGAGGUAACGGCUCACCAAGGCUACGACGGGAGCUGGUCCGAGAGGAUGACCAGCCACAUUGGGACUGAGACACGGCCCAGACUCCUACGGGAGGCAGCAGUGGGGAAUAUUGCGCAAUGGGCGAAAGCCUGACGCAGCGACGCCGCGUGUGGGAUGAAGGUCUUCGGAUUGUAAACCACUGUCGGGAGGGGACGAAGCUCUGACGGUACCUCCAAAGGAAGCACCGGCUAACUCUGUGCCAGCCGCCGCAGUAAC
rnacentral:rRNA from 1 species